AUCAUGAUGAUAAUGGAGACGGAAACUGUGACGACCAGAUAAACAUCACAGUUCAGUUCAGAGUGUUUCCAGACCUUUCAAAGAUCACUGUUGUGGGGUUUUGAGUGAAACCGUGUUUCUCAAAUUAGUUUUGUUGGGUUUGUGGCAUCUGGAUGGAGUGUUUGGUGAUGAUGAAGUGAGGUCAGUGUCUGUGAAGGAGGGACAUUCAGUCACUCUGAACUCUGAUCUUACUGAAAUGAAGGAUGAUGAUCUGAUUCAGUGGAGAUUUUAUGAUACUUUAUUGACUGAAAUCAGUAAACAGACCGGCAGAUUCGUUGUAUAUGAUGAUGUUCUUGACGGAGAUUCAGAGACAGACUGAAGAUGGACGAUCAAACCGGAUCUCUGACCAUCAUGAACACCACAACUGAAGAUACUGGACAUUAUAAACUACAGAUCAACAGUGUCAUCAAGUAUAUUAUUCUUACUGUCUAUGGUGUACUGAAGUCACUGUUAGUGAAGGAGGGAGAUUCAGUCACUA